rnacentral:rRNA from 1 species
GGUUGAUCCUGCCAGUAGGCAUAUGCUUGUCUCAAAGAUUAAGCCAUGCAUGUCUAAGUAUAAGCAAUUAUACAGUGAAACUGCGAAUGGCUCAUUAAAUCAGUUAUCGUUUAUUUGAUAGUACCUUACUACUUGGAUAACCGUGGUAAUUCUAGAGCUAAUACAUGCGUAAAGUCCCGACCUCUGGAAGGGAUGUAUUUAUUAGAUAAAAAAUCAAUGCCUUCGGGCUCUUUGAUGAUUCAUAAUAACUUUUCGAACCGCAUGGCCUUGCGCUGGCGGUGGUUCAUUCAAAU